rnacentral:rRNA from 1 species
UACGUAGGGCGCGAGCGUUGUCCGGAAUCAUUGGGCGUAAAGAGCUCGUAGGCGGCCGGUUGCGUCUGCUGUGAAAUCCCGGGGCUUAACCCCGGGCGUGCAGUGGAUACGGGCUGGCUGGAGGCAGGCAGGGGAGAAUGGAAUUCCCGGUGUAGCGGUGAAAUGCGCAGAUAUCGGGAGGAACACCGGUGGCGAAGGCGGUUCUCUGGGCCUGUGCUGACGCUGAGACGCGAAAGCGUGGGGAGCAAACAGG